CACGUAGGGCGCAAGCGUUGUCCGGAAUUAUUGGGCGUAAAGAGCUCGUAGGCGGUCUGUUGCGUCCGCUGUGAAAACCCGGGGCUUAACCCCUGGCUUGCAGUGGAUACGGACAGACUAGAGGUAGGUAGGGGAGAAUGGAAUUCCCGGUGUAGCGGUGAAAUGCGCAGAUAUCGGGAGGAACACCGGUGGCGAAGGCGGUUCUCUGGGCCACUACUGACGCUGAGAAGCGAAAGCAUGGGGAGCGAACAGG
rnacentral:rRNA from 1 species